rnacentral:rRNA from 1 species
UACAGAGGUCUCAAGCGUUGUUCGGAUUCAUUGGGCGUAAAGGGUGCGUAGGCGGCGCGGUAAGUCGGGUGUGAAAUCUCGGAGCUUAACUCCGAAACUGCAUUCGAUACUGCGGUGCUUGAGGACUGGAGAGGAGACUGGAAUUCAUGGUGUAGCAGUGAAAUGCGUAGAGAUCAUGAGGAAGACCAGUGGCGAAGGCGGGUCUCUGGACAGCUCCUGACACUGAGACACGAAGGCCAGGGGAGCAAACGGG